AGAGUUUGAUCCUGGCUCAGAUUGAACGCUGGCGGCAUGCCUUACACAUGCAAGUCGAACGGUAACGCGGGGCAACCUGGCGACGAGUGGCGAACGGGUGAGUAACGCAUCGGAACGUGCCCAGUAGUGGGGGAUAGCCCGGCGAAAGCCGGAUUAAUACCGCAUACGACCUACGGGUGAAAGCGGGGGACCGUAAGGCCUCGCGCUAUUGGAGCGGCCGAUGUCAGAUUAGGUAGUUGGUGGGGUAAAAGCCUACCAAGCCGACGAUCUGUAGCUGGUCUGAGAGGACGACCAGCCACACUGGGACUGAGACACGGCCCAGACUCCUACGGGAGGCAGCAGUGGGGAAUUUUGGACAAUGGGCGCAAGCCUGAUCCAGCCAUGCCGCGUGCGGGAUGAAGGCCUUCGGGUUGUAAACCGCUUUUGUCAGGGAAGAAACGCUCCGGGCCAAUACCCUGGGGUAAUGACGGUACCUGAAGAAUAAGCACCGGCUAACUACGUGCCAGCAGCCGCGGUAAUACGUAGGGUGCAAGCGUUAAUCGGAAUUACUGGGCGUAAAGCGUGCGCA
rnacentral:rRNA from 1 species